rnacentral:rRNA from 1 species
CCUACGGGAGGCUGCAGUCGAGAGGCUUCUACAAUGGGGGAAACCCUGAUAGAGCGACGCCGCGUGGGUGAUGAAGGUCUUCGGAUCGUAAAGCCCUUUCAGCAGGGAAGAAUGAGGCUGGUGUAAACAGCGCCAGACUCGGGACGGUACCUGCAGAAGAAGCUCCGGCUAACUCCGUGCCAGCAGCCGCGGUAAGACGGAGGGAGCAAGCGUUGUUCGGAUUUACUGGGCGUAAAGGGCGUCUAGGCGGGCCAGCCAGUCAGGUGUGAAACCCCCCGGCUCAACCGGGGAACUGCACUUGAUACUGCUGGUCUUGAGUACGAAAGAGGAAGGCGGAAUUCCUGGUGUAGCGGUGAAAUGCGUAGAUAUCAGGAAGAACACCGGUGGCGAAGGCGGCCUUCUGGUUCGAUACUGACGCUAAAGCGCGAAAGUGUGGGGAGCAAACAGGAUUAGAUACCCGAGUAGUC